GACGAACCGUACGAACGUUAUUCGGAAUCAUUGGGCUUAAAGGGUGCGUAGGCUGUGCGGAAAGUUGGGUGUGAAAUCCCCUGGCUCAACCAGGGAAUGGCGCCCAAUACUGCCGUGCUAGAGGAAGACAGAGGUGAGCGGAACUUCGGGUGGAGCGGUGAAAUGCGUUGAUAUCCGAAGGAACACCGGUGGCGAAAGCGGCUCACUGGGUCUUUUCUGACGCUGAGGCACGAAAGCUAGGGUAGCGAACGGG
rnacentral:misc_RNA from 1 species